UUGCCCCUAGGCCUAUUUUUGGGUAUUCCGAAUUUUGGGGAUUUUGGAAAUUGAAUUUGGGGAUUAAGUGUGGAUAAAUAUCAGCCCCAAAAUAUUGGACGAAAACGCCCUUAGAUAUUUUGGUUUGGAAGAAUGUGGACCAAGUGUUUUAGGGGCAAAAUUGGAAUUAAGAAAAAAAUUGGUCAAACCUUGGACCAAAUAUUUAAUUGUUUCUCUCCUCUCUCUCUCCUCAUUCCCUCUCUUCUCUCGGCAGCCCCCCCUCCCCAACAGAGAACUCUCUCCCUCUCUCCCUCACCAAAAAUCCUCUCAUCUCUCUCUCGGCCUUGGACCGCCGAUCAUCGCCGGAGCAUCGCCAGAGCAAGCCGCCACCGCCGAUCGCCGCCGGCCAGCCGUUCCCCCUUGCCGUUCUAGCCGAGUUAGUCUAGAGUUCGGAGCCCUCGCCUGAAUGUCGAGAUUGAGGUCGACUCGGAGUCGUCGGGUGAGCAGACAGCUGCGGAGGAUUCAGGUGGUGAUGCCGAAGACAGUGAGUCAGAGUGGACGCCUUCAAGAGGGCGUAGGGGAUAGUUCUGGGAGGAGGAUGCGCCCCAUUUUUGGAUAGUGCUGACCUAGAGAGCUGAUCUUGAUAUUUUGGUGGUUUGGAGUUUAUAGUUCGGUGUGCUUAUAAAUUAUUUUGUGGUUUGUAUUGGCGGAUGAUGUAAAUAUUUGGAAGUGUAAUAUAUGCUUGGUGGUUUGACGAUUUGUUCC